GGUCCAUUCCUGGUAAUUGCUGCAUAGUACAUAGCUACGCAGAGGAAAGUCUGGACUCCGAUUCGGUCCCGUAUGUCUGUAUUUAUUUUCGAAGUAAAUGUAGAUAACGGGAUAGGUACCGUUAAGUCUGCGGUUAGCAGAACGAGCGGCUGGGAGCAAUCUUAGGGAGAAAAGGGCAACAGAAAAAGACAGCCUACAGUUUAAUUACUGUACGGUGAUGCUGAAAUGGUGUGGUAAGAGCACACCGGGCUAGGUAGUAAUACCGAGUCGCUGGUAACCCCUACCUGGAGCAAUCCGCCCAAGGCGGAGCAUAGUCAAAUAAUUACCUCAAACACAGAAUCCGGCUUACGGGAUGGAUCAAAU
rnacentral:RNase_P_RNA from 1 species